rnacentral:lncRNA from 1 species
UGAGGUUCUUAAAGGCGUCCACUGGCCACUUGGUGAUGGGAAAUUGGUGAAUUUUUGGAAAAAGAAUUAGAUUCCUAAAAUUGGUCCUCUAAAACAAUUGUAUAUUGGUGGGAGACUAUGACGGAAGAUAUUAAUGAGAAAGACAUGGUUGAUUCUAAUGGGGAUUGGGAUUGGCGCAAAUUACAAUCGAUUUUAUCUCAAAGUAUCUUGCCGCAAAUUGUAGGCGUAUUGCCACCUUCGAAUGAGAGGAGAAGACAAAAUUGCUUGGUCUUGGAACAUUAGUGGGGCUUUCUCGACUUCAACUACUUGCAUGGCAAUUUCGG